UUAAUUGAAGAGUUUGAUCAUGGCUCAGAUUGAACGCUGGCGGCAGGCCUAACACAUGCAAGUCGAGCGGUAACAGAGAGUAGCUUGCUACUCUGCUGACGAGCGGCGGACGGGUGAGUAAUGCUUGGGAAUAUGCCUGAUGGUCGCGGGCAAC
rnacentral:rRNA from 1 species